rfam:Cloacibacterium normanense strain NRS-1 CloNor.contig.143_1, whole genome shotgun sequence.
AACUUAUUAAGAAAGGUGGAGGGAAUUGACCCUGCGAAACCUUGGCAACCUGCUAACAGAAAUGAGAGUAAGGUGCCAAAUUCAACCCCGAAGUUCGGGAAAGAUAAGUC